rnacentral:rRNA from 1 species
UACGUAGGGGGGCAAGCGUUGUCCGGAUUUAUUGGGCGUAAAGAGCGUGUAGGCGGCCUGAUAGGUCGGUUGUGAAAACUGGAGGCUUAACCUUCAGACGUCGGCCGAAACCAUCUGGCUAGAGUCCGGAAGAGGAGAGUGGAAUUCCUGGUGUAGCGGUGAAAUGCGCAGAUAUCUGGAGGAAUACCGGUGGCGAAGGCGGCGAUCCUGGACCGGUACUGACGCUGAGACGCGAAAGCCAGGGGAGCAAAACGGG